rnacentral:rRNA from 1 species
ACUCCUACGGGAGGCAGCAGUGCGUACUAUUGCGCAAUGGGCGAAAGCCUGACGCAGCCAUGCCGCGUGUGUGAAGAAGGCCUUAGGGUUGUAAAGCACUUUCAAUUGGGAAGAAAAGUUGGUCGUUAAUAGCGGCCAGCCCUGACAUUACCUUUAGAAGAAGGACCGGCUAACUCCGUGCCAGCAGCCGCGGUAAUACGGAGGGUCCGAGCGUUAAUCGGAAUUACUGGGCGUAAAGCGCGCGUAGGCGGUUUGUUAAGUCAGCUGUGAAAGCCCUGGGCUCAACCUGGGAACUGCAGUUGAUACUGGCAAACUAGAGUAUGAAAGAGGGAGGUAGAAUUCCAUGUGUAGCGGUGAAAUGCGUAGAUAUAUGGAGGAAUACCAGUGGCGAAGGCGGCCUCCUGGUUCAAUACUGACGCUGAGGUGCGAAAGCGUGGGGAUCAAACAGGAUUAGAUACCCUGGUAGUC